CAGUGCCUUCCUAGACUCCCGCGCCGACCGUCGUGCCUCGCCCGGACCCGCCCGCGCCGCGCCCCGAACCCCCCGGUCUCGCCCAAGUUCCGCUAAGUUCCGUGCUCCCUCGAAAUUUCCGAAAAAUCCCCCCGGAGGACUUUCGUUGAUCGCUGUGAGCCGUGUUUGAACAGGAAACAGUAUCGAAUUUUUGACUUGGAUUUUCGUGUUUCGUUUCAGUUUUUAUGAGACGCGUUGAAAAUUUUGGAAAAUGAUAUUCCGCUGGACUGCUACCUUGGCUCCGGCCGUACGGGUGUGAACCGUUCUAGAAAUAAAACAUUAUUGCAUUUUUGACUGGAAUUUGUGUGCGCAUACUUGGAUUUUUUUUUUCUGUCAAGAAAACUUAUAACUUCCACUUGUGAUUGUGUUCGGAAUUUUGGAUUUUAGUCCCAAAGCAACGCGCCAUUGAAGUUUUUCAACAUUCAUCCGCUCUGAGGAACUACUAAGGAACGGAGCGCGGAUAACAUUCGUUUGUGCCCGUGAUUUUACACUCGCUUUAAAGAAAACCUGUUGCAUAGCUGUAUCUUUUUGAAUGAAAAUUUAUUCACUAGCUGUAAUUUCCUGUGGUA